rnacentral:rRNA from 1 species
GUGACCUCAAAUCAGGUAGGACUAACCGCUGAACUUAAGCAUAUCAAUAAGCGGAGGAAAAGAAACUAACAAGGAUUCCCCUAGUAACUGCGAGUGAAGCGGGAAAAGCUCAAAUUUAAAAUCUGGCAGUCUUUUGGCUGUCCGAGUUGUAAUCUAGAGAAGUGUUAUCCGUGCUGGACCGUGUACAAGUCUCCUGGAAUGGAGCAUCAUAAAGGUGAGAAUCCGUCUUUGACAUGGACUGCCAGGCUUUGUGAUGUGCUCCUCAGAGUCGAGUUGUUGUGAAUGCAGCUCACAAUGGGUGGUUACUCAUCUUUAGCUGAAUACUGGCUAAAGACCGAUAGCGACAAGUAUCGUGAGCGAACGAUGAAAAGACUUUGGGGAAGAAAGUAAACAGA